UGCCAGACUCCUACGGGAGGCAGCAGUGGGGAAUUUUGCACAAUGGGGGAAACCCUGAUGCAGCGACGCCGCGUGUGGGAAGACGGUCCUCUGGAUUGUAAACCACUGUCCCCAGGGACGAAGAUGACGGUACCUGGGGAGGAAGCUCCGGCUAACUACGUGCCAGCAGCCGCGGUAAUACGUAGGGAGCAAGCGUUGUCCGGAUUUACUGGGUGUAAAGGGAGCGCAGGCGGCGCGCCAAGUCUGGUGUGAAACCCCGGGGCUCAACCCCGGGACUGCAUUGGAAACUGGCGGGCUGGAGUGUCGGAGGGGCAGGCGGAAUUCCUGGUGUAGCGGUGAAAUGCGUAGAUAUCAGGAGGAACACCGGUGGCGAAGGCGGCCUGCUGGACGACAACUGACGCUGAGGCUCGAAAGCGUGGGGAGCAAACAGGAUUAGAUACCCGGGUA
rnacentral:rRNA from 1 species